ensembl:lncRNA
CAAGUAGCCACUAGAUGGAGGUAUUGGACCGCGUAGCAGGACGCGGCGUGACAUAUUACCCGAUAAGGAUCAAAUCCUGCACAGUGUUGUGUGGAUUAGGGACAAGUCAAUAAGAAGCUUUUCUCCAUGGUGCCUCUUCCGAAUCAUUAUCUGAGGACAACAGAAGUGAUUCACGAGGUGUUCCUGGAUGGGAGGCAGUUGAUUGCUUGGUGGAGAACCUGAAAACCAGAUGGUCACAUGGGGACUAAAACCCUUGACAUUCCGUCUGAUGGGAGACCCUCGCCCCUCCUCCCCCGCAUCAUCAGGCUAUUGUCAUGGAAACAGCAGCAUGCGAAAGCGGAGACUUCGGAUGGGCACGCACAAGGCUGGUUGAGUUCAUAUAUAUAUACACAUCUCGGUCCGCACAGUUAAAUGUCCUGUGUUCAGAUUCCAUGCGUCUUCAGUAGUUUAGUAUAAGAACAAGGUUUACUCCUUUAGGAUGAUCAUUUAGAG